ACCCUUGACAUCCUCGGAACUUGUCAGAAAUGACUUGGUGCCUUCGGGAACCGAGUGACAGGUGCUGCAUGGCUGUCGUCAGCUCGUGUCGUGAGAUGUUGGGUUAAGUCCCGUAACGAGCGCAACCCUCGUCCUUAGUUGCCAGCGGUUCGGCCGGGAACUCUAAGGAGACUGCCGGUGAUAAACCGGAGGAAGGUGGGGAUGAUGUCAAGUCAUCAUGGCCCUUACGGGUAGGGCUACACACGUGCUACAAUGGGCAGUACAAAGGGUUGCCAAACCGUGAGGUGGAGCUAAUCCCAGAAAACUGCUCGUAGUCCGGAUUGAAGUCUGCAACUCGACUUCAUGAAGUUGGAAUCGCUAGUAAUCGCGAAUCANAAUGUCGCGGUGAAUACGUUCUCGGGCCUUGUACACACCGCCCGUCACACCAUGGGAGUGAAUUGUACCAGAAGCGGGUAGG
rnacentral:rRNA from 1 species